CCUACGGGUGGCAGCAGUGAGGAAUAUUGGUCAAUGGGCGCGAGCCUGAACCAGCCAAGUCGCGUGAGGGAAGACGGUCCUAUGGAUUGUAAACCUCUUUUGUCGGGGAGCAAAAGACGCCACGCGUGGCGUUCCGAGAGUACCCGAAGAAAAAGCAUCGGCUAACUCCGUGCCAGCAGCCGCGGUAAUACGGGGGAUGCGAGCGUUAUCCGGAUUUCUUGGGUUUAAAGGGUGCGCAGGGGGAUGUGCAAGUCAGCGGUAAAAUUGCGGGGCUCAACCCCGUACGGCCGUUGACACUGCAUCCCUUGAGUGCGCGAGAAGUAUGCGGAAUGCGUGGUGUAGCGGUGAAAUGCAUAGAUAUCACGCAGAACUCCGAUUGCGAAGGCAGCAUACCGGCGCGCAACUGACGCUCAUGCACGAAAGCGUGGGUAUCGAACAGGAUUAGAUACCCUUGUAGUC
rnacentral:rRNA from 1 species